AGUUUUAAGGUGUUUCAAAAGCCUAAAAUGAAGUUCAUCGAGUCUAGUUUGUAAUGCAACAAACCGCUCGUCAAAAUGAUAUCGGGAUAAGGAGAUAUGGACGAUGCAAGUUGGGCUGGCAGGGCAGCAAGUUUGGACCCGACCCAAACACUCACAUUUCGGCCCAUGAGGCCCAUUAAACUCAAUAGAUAAGUCACCACUUUGCCCUAUAUCAUUUCACACGACCUAAAACAGAUCCAAAACCCUUAUUUUCUCUCCCAAACCCCCUUUCUAAUUGAGCCAUCAUAUAAGCUAAAUCCUAGACCCUUGACAUGAUAUUAGUUAAAGAGAAGUUGUAGCUUAAGUUUUUUUUUUUUGUGUUGUUAAGCAAGCAGCUGGAAAGAGGAACAAGAUUCUUGAAGAUUCUGAUUUCUAAAGGUAUUUCAGCCCUUAGGAAGGUGAUAAUAACGUGGAGAAUUCAUUUGGAGCAACAAGAACAAGUAUUAGUUCAUUUCACAAAUUCUAGCUAAGUGGAAAAAUCCAACUUGUUAAGACCUUGGGGAGCCCGAGGCGUAGAUUGAGAUUUACUUUAGAUUGGCUAUCUUGGAGUGCGUACGAGGUACAGACGCACAGUUUGGUGAUCUACCCAUUUAGGACACCCUCUUCUGCUGUUUGGAGUGCUCUUCUCAUUUCAGAGCACACAUUUUGGUAUAUAUUCGUUCGCUAUGUAUAUAUGUAUUUGUUCAGGGGCACGGCGGGGCCCUGUCCCGCCAUAUGAUUCGGUUUGUCUGUUUAGAGGUCUGUAGACGUAUUUGUGGGUAUGUGUGCCUACUUCUGUUCAGAUGUGUUUGUAUGACCCUAUUCGUUAUGGCAGCCUUGUCGGCGUGCAUUUUGUAUAUGUUUUGGGGCCGUUGUGCCAUUUGUUAGCCUUGUCGGCUUUUGAUACAUUUGAUAGCCUUGUCGGAUUUUGUUAUAUAUAUGGAUAUGGUUGUCCUAAAAUGUGUUACGAUUUGAUAUGUUUGUCUGUCUGGGUGCCCAAGUAGGGCACCAGUCGCGGCCCACGGGGCUGGGUCGUGACAAUUAUCUGAAAGGAGAUGAAGAAAUUUAAAUCAUAACCAGAUUGUUGCUGCAGCAAGUGAUCGAGUCAAAAGAAAAAUACGAGCUCUGUGUAAUGUUCCUCCUUUUUAUAUUUCAGGUAGGCAAUUUUUCCUUUUUCCAAUGUCUAAAGAACUCUAUGUUUUGCAUGUGUCCCUUUUACUUUUGUUUUAUGUUGUUGAGUAGUAUUUGCAAUUUGUUUAAGUUCUUGAGUAGCAUUUGCAGUUUGUGUAAGUUCACAGUAAUGUAGUUUAUGAGCAAUAGUAGCCUCGUGAAAGACAUUUAGUCCUUAUAAUAUUUUCCCUGUAAAAAUAUGAAAUAUAAGACCGUAACUCAAAGACGGACCAAGAUUUGAGAAUAGUGGGGGUACUACUAUUCUGUGGCUACAAAAUGUCGGGAAAAACAUUUUGUGCGGAUACUGAAAUGGGGAAUCGACUUCUAUCACUGGUAAAUCAAACUUGAGUUGAUUAUGGGGCAAGGGAAGAUUAAUUCUUACAGUGUUUCUCUUAUCUUUAACAAGCUGGAGAGGUCUCUCACGCAUGUUAGUUUUGCAGUUUUGGACCUAAAGUGCACUUUUCCAUUCUAAUUUUCUGCAAAUACUUGAUAAUAUUGUAACACAUCAAACUUUCUCUUUAUUUAGCACCAAAGUCAUUUUAAUGAUUAGGCAAGAUGUCUUGCUUGGGCUCUCCUGUAAUUGGCAGGUUCUAAUACCUUUCUCAAGGAGUUUCGAAGGAAAUUAAAGAGGAAGCGUAGUAUAACGCAUGCAGGUAAAUGAUCGAUCUUCCAAGUGAAGGCUCUGUCUCAUGGAAGAUGAGAGCAUUUGCUUCUCUUGAUGGCUGGUCAAGUAACAAUACUAUUCUGAAGAUGCCCGAUAAUUGGCGACUCUUUGGUCUUGAACCUUUCUGGUAGUGUUACCAUAAAUUUACUCUCUUUAAGAAGAGAUGUGAAAGCUGCUUUUGGUUUGACAUUUCUAUGUUACAGUAUUUGAGAUCGAAUGAAAAUCUAAAAGAAAAAAAGAAAGGGGGUACAUAGUUAGCUUGGUUAUGGCGUGUCUUAAUGCUCGAACAAUAAUUCUGGCUUGAUGGCUGGUCAAGUAACAAUAUUGUUCUAAAGAUGCCCGAUAAUUGGCGACUCUUUGGUCUUGAACCUUUCUGGUAGUGUUACCAUAAAUUUACUCUCUUUAAGAAGAGAUGUGAAAGCUGUUUUUGGUUUGACAUUUCUAUGUUACAGUAUUUGAGACCGAAUGAAAAUCUAAAGAAAA